rnacentral:tRNA from 1 species
GGUCGUGUAGUGUAGCGGUUAACACGCCUGCCUGUCACGUAGGAGAUCGCGGGUUCGAUUCCCGUCGAGACCGCCA